rnacentral:rRNA from 1 species
CGCGCAGGCGGAUUGUUAAGUCGGGUGUGAAAUCUCCGGGCUCAACCCGGAGGCUGCAUCCGAAACUGGCAAUCUGGAGUCCUGGAGAGGCAGACGGAAUACUUGGUGUAGCGGUGAAAUGCGUAGAUAUCAAGUGGAACACCGAUGGCGAAGGCAGUCUGCUGGACAGUGACUGACGCUGAGGCGCGAAAGCGUGGGGAGCAAACA